CCUACGGGUGGCAGCAGUGGGGAAUAUUGCACAAUGGGCGAAAGCCUGACGCAGCGACGCCGCGUGAGGGAUGAAGGUCUUCGGAUCGUAAACCUCUGUCAGCAGGGAAGAACGGUCACUGUGCUAAUCAGCAGUGAAUUGACUGUACCUGCAAAGGAAGCACCGGCUAACUCCGUGCCAGCAGCCGCGGUAAUACGGAGGGUGCGAGCGUUAAUCGGAAUUACUGGGCGUAAAGCGAUCGUAGGCGGUAUGUCAAGUCAAGGGUGAAAUCCCCGCGCGCAACGUGGGAACUGCCUUUGAAACUGGCAAACUGGAGUGUGUGAGAGGAUAGUGGAAUUCCAGGUGUAGGAGUGAAAUCCGUAGAUAUCUGGAGGAACAUCAGUGGCGAAGGCGACUAUCUGGAACAUAACUGACGCUGAGGAGCGAAAGCGUGGGUAGCAAACAGGAUUAGAUACCCGGGUAGUC
rnacentral:rRNA from 1 species